GGCCUUAUAGUUUAUAUUGAACAGCAAAUUGCAGCUUUGAAAGAGGGGUUUUUCCUGAGGCUU
rnacentral:tRNA from 1 species